rnacentral:pre_miRNA from 1 species
UCGGUCGGCCGGAUCCGACGGCGAGGAGGCUGGGGUCGCUGGAUCCGGUGGCCUCGGCCUCCUCACGGGCCACGACGACGGCUAAGGAA